rnacentral:rRNA from 1 species
GACGGCGGGUGCAAGCGUUGUUCGGAAUCACUGGGCGUAAAGCGCGUGUAGGCGGUUCGAUAAGUCGAAUGUGAAAGCCCGAGGCUCAACCUCGGAAGUGCAUUCGAAACUGUAGGGCUUGAGUACGGGAGAGGGAAGUGGACUUCCUGGUGUAGAGGUGAAAUUCGUAGAUAUCAGGAGGAACACCGGUGGCGAAGGCGGCUUCCUGGACCGAUACUGACGCUGAGACGCGAAAGCGUGGGGAGCAAACAGG